rnacentral:rRNA from 1 species
CAAUAGCGUAUAUUAAAGUUGUUGCAGUUAAAAAGCUCGUAGUUGGAUUUCGGGGCAGCCUGGCUGGUCCGCCGCAAGGCGAGUACUGGUCAGCCGCCCUUCCUCUCGAAAGCCCCGACUGCUCUUCGUUGCAGUGGUCGGGUAGUUCGGGACGUUUACUUUGAAAAAAUUAGAGUGUUCAAGGCAGGCCUACGCCUGAAUACAUUAGCAUGGAAUAAUGGAAGAGGACCUCGGUCCUAUUUUGUUGGUUUCCAGGGCCGAAGUAAUGAUUAAGAGGGACAGUUGGGGGCAUUCGUAUUUAAUUGUCAGAGGUGAAAUUCUUGGAUUUAUGAAAGACGAACUACUGCGAAAGCAUUUGCCAAGGAUGUUUUCAUUAA